UACAGAGGGUGCAAACGUUGCUCGGAAUCAUUGGGCGUAAAGAGCGUGUAGGCGGCCCGAUAAGUCCGCUGUGAAAGUCCAGGGCUCAACCCUGGGAUGCCGGUGGAUACUGUCGGGCUCGAGUCCGGAAGAGGAGUGUGGAAUUCCUGGUGUAGCGGUGAAAUGCGCAGAUAUCAGGAGGAACACCAAUGGCGAAGGCAGCACUCUGGGACGUGACUGACGCUGAGACGCGAAAGCUAGGGGAGCAAACAGG
rnacentral:rRNA from 1 species